CAUGACCUGAGCUGAAGGCAGAGGCUUUAACCCACUGAGCCACCCAGGCACCCCAAUAUCUUCUUAGAACGUUUUCUACAUAUUCUUUUCACCUGUUACUGUAUACCAGCCACUUGCUUGUUCCUAUGAAUACCCCUAACUCAGCCCUGUGGUUCUUCCGGACGGGCUCCCACGCUGAGUCGGGUCUUGAAGAUCACGGCCUUUGAAUGCACUUUGUAUGCUGCCGGUCAUCGCCCUGGCUUCGGACCCCUCCAAGGCUCCCUGCAUGAAAUUCUGAAGUGCCAACAGAUGUGUAUUCUACAAAGGGCUUUCUGCGAUGUCAUAAUGAUGGGAACAGAAAAAGCAGAGCAUUUCGCCUGUGCAUAAAGUCGGUAAGACAGUCCUUCCGUCGGGGAGAAGUCCAGACAGGCCAAGCCUGCAGUAACGCUUUAUGUGGACUUUAUACAAACCACGUGUAGCAAAAUGCCAAAUCCACAACAGCUUACACAAGAUAAAAGUGGUUUAGGAGGCCGAACGGUGGCUGUACCCUAACACCCACAGGGACUCAGGCUCCUUCCAUCCCAGAUGACGGCCCUUCUCCGGCGACGGCCGCAGGACCUGCAAGACAGAGGGAAAGACAGGAAGGAAAGAGCAGGUAAUUUUUCAGCUCUUUGACCGGGACCUAGUCAUGUGACUGUACUUGCACACGGGAAGCUGGGAAGUGUACCCAGCCGUGUGGCCAGCAGCCAUGUACCCAGCAAAACCGGGCAUUUCAUCAGCCUGGAAGACCGGAGACAGGCGUUGGAGAGCAACCGGCAAUCUCUAUUGCUCAGUCCAGCCGGGCUGUCCUGGCCGGCCCCGGUCUGACCUCUGAUCACACAUCCCCGUUCCUAUCACGAGUGUCUCGUGACGUUUCCAGCCACAUCACUCCCAUCCGCAGCCACAUGCACUUAUCUAUUUCAGCUGUACUUAUCUACUUCAUCCCCCUAAGAAUUAAGUGUCAUAAAUAUGUACUUUUAUUACAAUGAUAAAGGGAACUUCCGGCCGGCAAAAGCACAGACGAAAAUACAAGAUGAAUGGAAGUGGUUAUUUUUCUCCCAAGAUCUACGGUAAAUAUCUGGGCUUCUUGACCCUGCCAAGUCCCCUCCUGCCCCCCUUAUGAGCGAGCUCGUGUCCAGAGUGCUUCAGCACUCCACUCCGGAGUCUGCCCAGCCCAUCCCCAGGCGCUGGGUGUGACGCUUUGUCCUGCGUCCGCAGCCGCCUGUGCGUUGCCACGACCAGCCUUGAACAGUGACCACCCCGCAGCACGGCCCCUGCCACGGCAGGAAAAGUCAAACCGAGAUACACACAUUUGCUACCUUCCCCAAAGGAGAAAAAAGCAAACGGAAGGUUACAGUUGCCUUCCUGUCCCCGGUUUUGUUUUCAUUUUUUCCUCUAAGUGUGAAGAGAGAACAAAGACCGUCGGUUGCAGCCUUUCACAGCCGCAGCGGACAGCUCCAGUUGUAUCCAGCCUGGUACAGACUGGCUGAAAGACACGUCCCGAGAGCAAGUCCAGGGGACUGCGGGGGCCCCUCGGAACGGCCAGGACCGCGUGGGAGUCCGGUGUGUGCACGAGGAAGAGUCGGAAACUGAUCCAGCAGCAGUGGCUGCGUCCAGCGCCGACGUUUCUGAAAAGGUGCGUCUUCUCACUGCUGAGCAGUGUUUCCUUGUGCGACUAAACCGCCAUCGGUUCCUCCAUCCACAAUCGACAGACACAUGAGCUGUUACGGGUUCCUGCUGCUGCACAUACAGCUGUGAUGUCCGGUUCCGCAGUUUCUCCCUUAUUACUACGGACGUCUGAGGUCAAACGAUUCUUCGCGUGGAGAGCUGUCCUGUUGCAUUGCGGGAAAUGCAGCUGCUUCCCUACAUGCCACAGGCAGCCUCCAAGCCGGUGGUGACAAUCACAACCGUCUCCAGACAUUGCCCAAAGUCUCUGCGACAGAGAGGCCAAACGCUCCCCAGUGGAAAAGACUGCUCGUGUGACUAAUGAUGUAGCGCAUAUUUUCAUGUGCUUAUUUGCUAUUGACAUGUUUUCUUUGGCAAAGUGUUUCUGACACGCUUUGCCCACCCUUAAAUUAGUUGUUUGUCUUGGUAUUGUUGAGCUGUGAGAGUCCUUAUGCAUUCUAGAUACAAGUCAUUUGUUGGAGGCAUGUUUGAAAAUAUUUCCCCCAUCCUAUGUCUGGCCUUCUAAUUUUUAUAACAUUGUGUUUUGGAGAGGAAAACUUCUUAAUUUUGAUAAAGUCCAAUUUAUUACUUUCUAUUAUCACUUGCAUUUUUAAUAUUCUAUUUAAGAAAAAUUGCCAGAUUAAAUGUAAGUAAAGUUUUCCCUUGGAAGUUUUAUGGUUGUAUCUAUUAUAUUUAGGUGUAUGAUUAAUUUUGAGUUAAUUUUGUAUGUGGUAUGAGGUAAGGUGGAGCUCUACUUCUUAUUUUUUUAUUCUUAUUUUUAUUUUUUUAAAGUAGGAUCCACAUCCAACACGGGGCUUGAACUCAAGACUCUCAGAUCAGGAGUCACAUGCUCUACUGACUGAGCCAGUCAGGACUAUGUAAGUGGCAAUACCUUGUAAAUGCAAAUUAUUUGUAAAGCAGGUUAAUUUUUAAUUGAUUUUUGUAUCCAGCUAACUGGAUAUUCCCACUUACUAGUUCUAUCAGUUCUUUUAUUGUAGAUCGUUUAACAUUUUCCACGUAGAUGAACACGUCGUCUAUGAAUAAAGAUGGUUUGAUUUUUUCUCUUUUUAAUCUUGAUUAUUUUUAUUUUUCUUGACUUAUUAUAUUACAUAGAACCUCUAGUGCUGUGUUGAAUAGAGGUUGGAUUUUAUCAGUUUGUUCUGUUGAGAUAAUCAUGUUUCCUUUUUUAUUCUAUUAGCACAGUGUAUUACAUUGAUUAGAUUUUAAAUAUUGAUCUAACUGCAUUCCUAGAAUAAACCCCAGUGGGUCAUGGUGUGUUAUAAUGUUUAAUAUAUUGCUAGAUGUGAUUUGUUAAAAUUUCAUUAAGAAUUUUUGGGCCUUUGUUAGGGAUGUUGGCUUGUAGUUUUAUUUUCUUAUAAUAUUUUUGUCUGCUUUUGGGACCAGGGUAAUGCUGGGCUCAUAAGUUGAACUGGGAAGAGUUCUCUCCUCCUUGGUUUCUGGAAGUAACUGUAUAGAAGUGGUAUUACUUCUUAGCUAGAAGUUUGGUAGAACUUAAUCAGUCAAGCCAUCAGGUCUAGAAUUCCCUUUGUAGAAAAGUGUUAAAGUACAAAUUCAAUUUUGUAAUAGAUAUUUGCCUAUUUAUGUUUAUCUAUUUCUUCAAGUAGAUUUGAUAGCUUGUCUUUGAAGAAAUUUACGUAUUUCAUCUAAGUUGAAAAAUUUACAGCAUAAAAUUGUUCAUAAUAUUAUUUCUUUUUAAUAGGAUUGGUAAUGAUAUCUUCUUUCCUUUUUUUUUUUUUGUAUUGGUAACUUGUAUUUUCUCUUUUUAUUUCCUGUUCAAUCUGGUUUGAAGUUUAUCAGUUUCAUUGACCUUUCCAAAGAACCAAUCUUUAAUUUUAUUGAUUUGGCAAAAAUCUUUUAGAUAUGAUACCAAAAGUAUAAUCCAUAAAAUU